UACAGAGGGUGCAAGCGUUGUUCGGAAUUAUUGGGCGUAAAGCGCGUGUAGGCGGCUUUGCAAGUCGGGUGUGAAAGCCCUCAGCUCAACUGAGGAAGUGCGCCCGAAACUGCAGAGCUUGAGUACCGGAGAGGAUGGCGGAAUUCCUGGUGUAGAGGUGAAAUUCGUAGAUAUCAGGAGGAACACCAGUGGCGAAGGCGGCCAACUGGACGAAUACUGACGCUGAGACUCGAAAGCGUGGGGAGCAAACAGG
rnacentral:rRNA from 1 species